rnacentral:lncRNA from 1 species
GAUAUCUGACCCAUUUAACCUAUUUAAUAUUCAAAUCGAAUUAAGUCGGAUAACUCGUUUCACCCAAUCAACUUAUUUAACUCUUUAAGACAUGUUUAACUUAUUUAAAACAUACUUAACCUAUUUCUGACAUAUUUAAUUCAACCUAUUUGACAUGUUUAACCCAUUUAAUCCUUUAAAAAUUUAUUUAACUUGUUUAACCUAUUUAACUUAAUUUGAUCUUUAAUAAACAGAUUAAGCAGGUC